CCUACGGGCGGCAACAGUGGGGAAUAUUGCACAAUGGGGGAAACCCUGAUGCAGCGACGCCGCGUGAGGGAAGAAGUAAUUCGGUAUGUAAAGCUCUAUCAGCAGGGAAGAAAAUGACGGUACCUAAGUAAGAAGCCCCGGCUAACUACGUGCCAGCAGCCGCGGUCAUACGUAGGGGGCAAGCGUUAGGCGGAUUUACUGGGGGUAAAGGGAGCGUAGACGGCAGUGCAUGUCUGGAGUGAAAGGCGGGGGCUCAACCCAGGGACUGCUCUGGAAACUGUACGGCUGGAGUGCAGGAGAGGUAAGUGGAAUGCCUAGUGUAGCAGUGAAAUGCGUAGAUAUUAGGAGGAACACCAGUGGCGAAGGCGGCUUACUGGACUGUAACUGACGUUGAGGCUCGAAAGCGUGGGGAGCAAACAGGAUUAGAUACCCGAGUAGUC
rnacentral:rRNA from 1 species